CCUACGGGAGGCAGCAGUGAGGAAUAUUGGUCAAUGGACGAGAGUCUGAACCAGCCAAGUAGCGUGAAGGAUGACUGCCCUAUGGGUUGUAAACUUCUUUUAUAUGGGAAUAAAAUGUUCCACGUGUGGGCUUUUGUAUGUACCAUAUGAAUAAGGAUCGGCUAACUCCGUGCCAGCAGCCGCGGUAAUACGGAGGAUCCGAGCGUUAUCCGGAUUUAUUGGGUUUAAAGGGAGCGUAGGUGGAUUGUUAAGUCAGUUGUGAAAGUUUGCGGCUCAACCGUAGAAUUGCAGUUGAUACUGGCAGGCUUGAGUACAGUAGAGGUGGGCGGAAUUCGUGGUGUAGCGGUGAAAUGCGUAGAGAUCACGAAGAACACCGAUUGCGAAGGCAGCUCACUGGACUGCGACUGACACUGAGGCUCGAAAGUGUGGGUAUCAAACAGGAUUAGAUACCCUAGUAGUC
rnacentral:rRNA from 1 species